rnacentral:rRNA from 1 species
GACGAACGCUGGCGGCGUGCUUAACACAUGCAAGUCGAACGGUGAAGGGGUCUGCUUUUGUGGGCCCUGGAUGAGUGGCGAACGGGUGAGUAACACGUGAGUAACCUGCCCCCUUCUUCUGGAUAACCGCAUGAAAGUGUGGCUAAUACGGGAUAUUCUGGGUCUGUCGCAUGAUGGGUCUGGGAAAGAUUGCGCCUUUGGGUGUUUUUGGUGGGGGAUGGGCUCGCGGCCUAUCAGCUUGUUGGUGGGGUGAUGGCCUACCAAGGCGGUGACGGGUAGCCGGCCUGAGAGGGUGGACGGUCACACUGGGACUGAGACACGGCCCAGACUCCUACGGGAGGCAGCAGUGGGGAAUAGUGCACAAUGGGCGCAAGCCUGAUGCAGCGACGCCGCGUGAGGGAGGGAGGCCUUCGGGUUGUAAACCUCUUUCGCCAGUGAAGCAGGCCUGCUCCUUGUGGGUGGGUUGACGGUAGCUGGAUAAGAAGCGCCGGCUAACUACGUG